AUGAACGCUAGCUACAGGCUUAACACAUGCAAGUCGAGGGGCAGCAUGGUCUUAGCUUGCUAAGGCCGAUGGCGACCGGCGCACGGGUGAGUAACACGUAUCCAACCUGCCGUCUACUCUUGGACAGCCUUCUGAAAGGAAGAUUAAUACAAGAUGGCAUCAUGAGUCCGCAUGUUCACAUGAUUAAAGGUAUUCCGGUAGACGAUGGGGAUGCGUUCCAUUAGAUAGUAGGCGGGGUAACGGCCCACCUAGUCUUCGAUGGAUAGGGGUUCUGAGAGGAAGGUCCCCCACAUUGGAACUGAGACACGGUCCAAACUCCUACGGGAGGCAGCAGUGAGGAAUAUUGGUCAAUGGGCGAGAGCCUGAACCAGCCAAGUAGCGUGAAGGAUGACUGCCCUAUGGGUUGUAAACUUCUUUUAUAAAGGAAUAAAGUCGGGUAUGGAUACCCGUUUGCAUGUACUUUAUGAAUAAGGAUCGGCUAACUCCGUGCCAGCAGCCGCGGUAAUACGGAGGAUCCGAGCGUUAUCCGGAUUUAUUGGGUUUAAAGGGAGCGUAGAUGGAUGUUUAAGUCAGUUGUGAAAGUUUGCGGCUCAACCGUAAAAUUGCAGUUGAUACUGGAUAUCUUGAGUGCAGUUGAGGCAGGCGGAAUUCGUGGUGUAGCGGUGAAAUGCUUAGAUAUCACGAAGAACUCCGAUUGCGAAGGCAGCCUGCUAAGCUGCAACUGACAUUGAGGCUCGAAAGUGUGGGUAUCAAACAGGAUUAGAUACCCUGGUAGUCCACACGGUAAACGAUGAAUACUCGCUGUUUGCGAUAUACAGCAAGCGGCCAAGCGAAAGCGUUAAGUAUUCCACCUGGGGAGUACGCCGGCAACGGUGAAACUCAAAGGAAUUGACGGGGGCCCGCACAAGCGGAGGAACAUGUGGUUUAAUUCGAUGAUACGCGAGGAACCUUACCCGGGCUUAAAUUGCAGAUGAAUUACGGUGAAAGCCGUAAGCCGCAAGGCAUCUGUGAAGGUGCUGCAUGGUUGUCGUCAGCUCGUGCCGUGAGGUGUCGGCUUAAGUGCCAUAACGAGCGCAACCCUUGUUGUCAGUUACUAACAGGUUCUGCUGAGGACUCUGACAAGACUGCCAUCGUAAGAUGUGAGGAAGGUGGGGAUAACGUCAAAUCAGCACGGCCCUUACGUCCGGGGCUACACACGUGUUACAAUGGGGGGUACAGAGGGCCGCUACCACGCGAGUGGAUGCCAAUCCCCAAAACCUCUCUCAGUUCGGACUGGAGUCUGCAACCCGACUCCACGAAGCUGGAUUCGCUAGUAAUCGCGCAUCAGCCACGGCGCGGUGAAUACGUUCCCGGGCCUUGUACACACCGCCCGUCAAGCCAUGGGAGCCGGGGGUACCUGAAGUGCGUAACCGCGAGGAGCGCCCUAGGGUAAAACUGGUGACUGGGGCU
rnacentral:rRNA from 1 species